GGAACGAGAAUAGCUUGCUAUUCGGCGUCGAGCGGCGGACGGGUGAGUAAUGCUUGGGAAUAUGCCUUUUGGUGGGGGACAACAGUUGGAAACGACUGCUAAUACCGCAUAAUGUCUACGGACCAAAGCGGGGGACCUUCGGGCCUCGUGCCAAAAGAUUAGCCCAAGUGAGAUUAGCUAGUUGGUGGGGUAAAGGCCUACCAAGGCGACGAUCUCUAGCUGGUUUGAGAGGAUGAUCAGCCACACUGGGACUGAGACACGGCCCAGACUCCUACGGGAGGCAGCAGUGGGGAAUAUUGCACAAUGGGGGGAACCCUGAUGCAGCCAUGCCGCGUGUGUGAAGAAGGCCUUCGGGUUGUAAAGCACUUUCAGUCGUGAGGAAAGGGUGAGUCUUAAUACGGCUCAUCUGUGACGUUAGCGACAGAAGAAGCACCGGCUAACUCCGUGCCAGCAGCCGCGGUAAUACGGAGGGUGCGAGCGUUAAUCGGAAUUACUGGGCGUAAAGCGUGCGUAGGCGGUUUGAUAAGUCAGAUGUGAAAUCCCGGAGCUCAACUUCGGAACUGCAUUUGAAACUGUUUGACUAGAGUACUGUAGAGGGUGGUGGAAUUUCCAGUGUAGCGGUGAAAUGCGUAGAGAUUGGAAGGAACAUCAGUGGCGAAGGCGGCCACCUGGACAGAUACUGACGCUGAGGCACGAAAGCGUGGGGAGCGAACAGGAUUAGAUACCCUGGUAGUCCACGCCGUAAACGAU
rnacentral:rRNA from 1 species